rnacentral:misc_RNA from 1 species
UGAAUUCCAUUGCCCCACUAAAAGUCAAUAUCGGUUUUGACAGUUUUGGCUCUUGCCUGUCAAAUCUAGUUCAAUGAAUCCGUUUUUCAAUGCAUUUAAAAAUCAACGUUACCUUUAGAUAUCUUCGAUGAGUUUCGUGCAUGUAACGAAACUUUCGUUCUUAGUCCACCUCGUCUAUCAUGGACAAUCGAGGUUUAGUUGGUAAUCACACCAAACUACAUAACUCUUCAACCGACUUUGAUUCUGUACACUCUAACGACGUGAUCAAAUUGAUGGCCAUCAGUGGAUACAAUAUAAAUGAAACUGCAUCAGGCUCUGAAAGUCCGAAAGAGUGUUAUGGAGAUUCACAGCACCACAGUUUUGUUAAAGUCAUUCCUGUGGAGUACACAAAGCAAAAGUUCCCAAGCAGUGCUUACAACACCCAGAAUAUUUCAAGCCAAGAAGACAUAAGGAACUAUCCUAUUUUGUUGAAUGAGAAAGAUCAGUCAGAAAUGUCUAGUAUUGCCUCUGUAUCAACUCUAUCAAGUCAUGUCAUGAAUCGUGCAAUGUCUGCAACUGGUGCGGCUAUGUCAGAUAAACUCUCUCCUCCCCGGAUUCCUAACGGUCAAUUGUGUGUUUUCCUGAGCAAUGGAACCUGUGUCUGUGUUGAUGUUGAACAUGGUGUCAACACCAACUCUGCAACAAUUUUGAAAACAUUGAUAGAGACUGAAGAAUUAAGGUUACCUCCAUUCGCUAUGAAUGUAUUUGCUUUGUGGAUGAUAUCACCAGAAUUAGAAGUGCAGCUGAAACCCCAUCACAAACCCAUCAAGAUUUACGCCGAAUGGGCGCAGCUAGUCAAGAAAUUUACCAAAUACGACGGAAAUUCAACGUUACCUGAGCCCACUCUGCAUUUAAGGCGGAACGCGUUCUACCACAGAAGUGAUGAAAUGCGACUACGAGACUCUGGGAUAAUUGAAUUGCUCUACUGCGAGGCUAAACACCAUGUUCUAGUCGGGCGUUAUCCUUGUGACCUCCCCGAAACCUUUCUCCUUGGUAGCCUUGUGGCCAGAAUCAAUUUGGGCAAUUUUAUUCCCCAACAACACACACCAAUGUUCUUCAGGAGCCGAUUGCGAGAUUACCUUCCAUCCUACGCGUGUGUCAAGUCAACCCCAUGGUCUCUAGUUUGGCCGCUGUCCAAAUUGCAGCGACCAGACAAAACUGCACCUGAAUCUUUGAUAGUCGAGCAGCUCAAAAAACUUCCUAACAACAUUCCCAGUCAGAGAUUGAUGCUGAAUUAUUUGAAACGCUGUUGGGCAAGACCCUAUUACGGGGCUGCGUUUUUCUGCGGUCAAAUCGAAGAACGGCGCACCUCUCGAAUGUCGUCAUGGUUCACCUCGGGUGACCUCGAAAUCCAGGUGGCCGUCAGCUCGGUGGGAGUGUAUUUGAUUGAACCGCACGAAGGGACUGUCCUACUCGGUUUAAAGUAUGGCGAAUUCAUUUGGGAUUGCGCAUUGCCGUAUCGCCUGGACGAUCCAGAUUGCUUUCCCUGCAUUUUUCUCCAGUUUGCCUCUCCGCCGUCCAGCCCUCGCGAUGGCAAUGACACUUGCGUCAUUCAGAUAUUUUCGAAGCAGGCCGUCAUGGUGAACGCUUUGAUAGCCUACUACACCAACAGGCAGAGGAGGAAUUCGACCGCGGCUGCCAACGCUUCCAGCGACGAAAUUGAUGGAGGUAUCCAUGGAGAACAGGAUCUAGACGAUGUUAUGGCCCCGCUAACCAACCCGGCGCAAACCGGGUUACUUGACUCGUGUCUGACCAACAAGCUUCAUCGGCUCUCGUUGGCAACUUUUGAUGACGAAGGACGCUGCCUUAUAUCGACGGGGUCCUUGGCGGUAAUCAGGUAAUCUGUCAACAGCUCUCGUUUCAUCGACGGUGAUGGUGGCCCGAGCAUUUUGAUGUUCAAUUUUUAUUUGGCUCGAUUCUCCACUCGUUAUUCUCCCCCCACCCAGUUAUAAUCCCAUCACACAUGGAAGAAAAAACCCAACACAUUUUGAACGUCGAUAAGCCUGGAUUUUCCCUAUUGGUUUAUUCGGUUCUGAUCUCUUUUCAGUAAACACACACACACACACAGACGUAUAUAGAUAUUUUCCAAAGAAGAACAAGAAUAAUAUGUACAGCACGAUGCAUUGAAACUCCCCACUAUUCCGUCUCGCCACACUAAAGAAUUGGAAAUAUUCCCGUUUUUAAUUGAUCGAUUCAUUUGAUUUUGAAAGUCCGUUUUAUAAUUUCUCUGUCGACCCGCGCUGUUAAAGGAUGUCCUGUAAACUUUGAAUAUUUUCAAUUAGAUGUGCUAUGGAACGUAUUGAUCUCAACUAUGAUGAAACAGUAAAAACCCUCCCCUGCCCCAAUUUUAACACAGGGAUACUAAGACAAGGAUAAGAAGAAGAAACAAAAGUUCUAAAAGGAAAACAAAAAAGCAAAUUGAAAAAGGAUGGAUGACAUUCAUUUUUUUGUAGAUGAUAUGACACUUAGUCUGUGCUUAUUCAUUUUUACUUAUCAUGGUCAUAAAUACACGACACUUCAA